GGGGUGGAGGCGCAGUUGGCUAGCGCGUAGGUCUCAUAGCUUCUGAGUGAUCCUGAGGUCGAGAGUUCGAGCCUCUCACCCCA
rnacentral:tRNA from 1 species